rnacentral:rRNA from 1 species
UACGUAGGGUGCAAGCGUUUGUCCGGAAUUAUUGGGCGUAAAGAGCUCGUAGGCGGUCUGUCGCGUCUGCUGUGAAAACUCAGGGCUUAACCCUGAGCUUGCAGUGGGUACGGGCAGACUAGAGUGCGGUAGGAGAGACUGGAAUUCCUGGUGUAGCGGUGAAAUGCGCAGAUAUCAGGAGGAACACCGAUGGCGAAGGCAGGUCUCUGGGCCGAUACUGACGCUGAGGAGCGAAAGCGUGGGGAGCGAACAGG